rnacentral:rRNA from 1 species
UUAGUGGUAUCCUGAGUAAUACAUCACACGUGGAACGAUGUAUGAACCCGCGCGGACCACCGCGCAAGGCUAAAUACUAGUUGGCGACCGAUAGUGAACAAGUACCGUGAGGGAAAGGUGAAAAGAACCGCUGUGAGCGGAGUGAAAUAGAACCUGAAACCGUAUGUCUACAAAGUGUCAGAGCAGAGCAAUCUGCGAUGGCGUGCCUUUUGUUUAAUGAGUCUGCGAGUCAGUGUUUGUGGCAAGACUAAGGGCUUCCGGCCCGGAGUCGCAGCGAAAGCAAGUCCGAACAGGGCGCAAUAAGUCGCAGGUACUGGACCCGAAGCGGAGGUGACCUACCCUUGGCCAGGUUGAAGCAUGGGUAAAACCAUGUGGAGGACCGAACAGGUGAACGUUGAAAAGUUCUCUGAUGAGCUGAGGGUAGGAGUGAAAGGCUAAUCAAACCCCGUGAUAGCUGGUUCUCUUCGAAAUGCAUUUAGGUGCAGCGUCACGUGCUGAUGCGCGGGGGUAGAGCACUGACAAGGCUAGGGGGCACACCCGCUUACCAAACCUUAUCAAACUCCGAAUACCGUGCAAUGGAACGUGGCAGUGAGACAGUGGGGGAUAAGCUUCAUUGUCGAGAGGGAAACAACCCAGACCAGCAGCUAAGGUGCCUAAAUAACGCUCAGUGGAAAGGAUGUGGGAUUACACAGACAGUGAGGAUGUUGGCUUAGAAGCAGCCACCAUUUAAAAAAUGCGUAAUAGCUUACUCAUCGAGUGAUCCUGCGCCGAAAAUGAUUGGCGAUCAAGCGUUAUACCGAAGCUCUGGACUUUGCCGCAAGGCAGAGUGGUAGAAGAGCGUUGCAUGCGCGUCGAAGGGCGAUGGCGACUGACCCUGGAGCACAUGCAAGUGAGUAUGCAGACAUGAGUAACGUUAAGCCGGGUGAAAUCCCCGGCCGCCGUAAACCCGAGGUUUCCAGGGCAACGUGUUUCGUCCCUGGGUUAGCCGGGACCUAAGCCGAGGCCGAGAGGCGUAGGCGAUGGACAUCAGGUUAAUAAUCCUGAGCUCGCAACCCUUAAACUGGGGGGACGCAUGAGAAAAGAUGACUAGGUUAUUGAAUUCCGAGUUGAGUCCACGGACUCAGCGCAUCAUUGGAUCGAGUGCCAAGAAAAGCCCCAGCGUAUGCUAAGCGACCCGUACCGCAAACCGACACAGGUGGGUGGGUAGAAUAUACCAAGGCGUAAGAGUGAAACCUGGUUAAGGAACUCGGCAAAUUAGCCCCGUAACUUCGGAAGAAGGGGUGCCUGCAGCGAUGCAGGCCGCAGAGAAAUGGCCCAACCGACUGUUUAUCAAAAACACAGCACUCUGCAAAGACGCAAGUCGAAGUAUAGGGUGUGACACGUGACCAAUGCCGAAAGAUUAAGGCAAGGGGUUAGCCGCAAGGCGAAGCUCUAAACCCAAGUCCCGGUGAAUGUCGGCCGUAACUAUAACGGUCCUAAGGUAGCGAAAUUCCUUGUCGGGUAAGUUCCG